rnacentral:tRNA from 2 species
GGAGAGAUGUCCGAGUGGUUUAAGGAGCGCGCCUGGAAAGUGCGUAUACGUCACAAGCGUAUCCGGGGUUCGAAUCCCCGUCUCUCCG